GCACUUUGCUGGUUUCAAACAGCCAGGAGCUGGAUGUUGGAGGAGGGCCAGGUUUGAGCCUGCCCUACGGAGGAACUUGCAGAUUCAGAGCCACGUUCAAACGGGGACAGUGGUACUCCAGAGAGGAAGGGAGAGGGAUAGAGAGAUAGAAACAUCAAUGAUGAGAGAGAAGCAUUGAUCAGCUGCUUCCUGCACCCCCCACACUGGGGAUCGAGCCCACAACCCGGGCAUGCGCCAGUUGGGCGGAACCGAACCUUCAGUCUGCAGGCCGACACUCUUAUUCACCGAGCCAAACUGGCUAGGGCUUCUCUACAAGGAUUUUAAAGCCCACAUCAGAAUCAAGCAAGUCAGGUACUUUAUCUUUUUCAAGCCUUCCAUGCAGUGAGGUUCUGAAGUGGGUCCGGGAAACCACAGAGAAGGAGCAUUCUGGAUUGAUAAGUUUCUGUGCCAUCAACGUUGCUGUGACCACAGAGGGGACCCGUAUCCACCCAAUGCCGUAGAGCCUUUGGUGAGGCCACGAGGCUUGCCUGAAGGCCGUUAGGGAAUAACAACACUUCAGUCCUGGCCAGGUCCCUUCCUUUCCCUUCCCACCCAGUCCCCCCACCAGCCCUGGUGGGUACACCAAGGAAAACAGACUCAGAAUAAAGCCAACAACUUUUAUUAUCUUUCAAGUGUUUUCUAGAAAUAAAAACGGGAAUGUAGCAAACGGGUCAGGGUUGUACAAAAAAAAAAGCAGGUUUGUACACGUGGCUCUAUUUACAACCGGAUCUGGC